GACGAACGCUGGCGGCGUGCUUAACACAUGCAAGUCGAACGGUGAAGCGCCUUCCUUUUUGGUGGGUGUGGAUGAGUGGCGAACGGGUGAGUAACACGUGAGUAACCUGCCCCCUUCUUCUGGAUAACCGCAUGAAAGUGUGGCUAAUACGGGAUAUUCUGGGUCUGUCGCAUGAUGGGUCUGGGAAAGAUAUUGUUUCGGUGGGGGAUGGGCUCGCGGCCUAUCAGCUUGUUGGUGGGGUGAUGGCCUACCAAGGCGGUGACGGGUAGCCGGCCUGGGAGGGUGGACGGUCACACUGGGACUGAGACACGGCCCAGACUCCUACGGGAGGCAGCAGUGGGGAAUAUUGCACAAUGGGCGCAAGCCUGAUGCAGCGACGCCGCGGGAGGGAUGGAGGCCUUCGGGUUGUGAACCUCUUUCGCCAGUGAAGCAGGCCUGCCUCGUUUGUGGGUGGGUUGACGGUAGCUGGAUAAGAAGCGCCGGCUAACUACGUG
rnacentral:rRNA from 1 species